CCUACGGGAGGCAGCAGUGAGGAAUAUUGGUCAAUGGACGAGAGUCUGAACCAGCCAAGUAGCGUGAAGGAUGACUGCCCUAUGGGUUGUAAACCUCUUUUAUAUGGGAGUAAAACAGGGUAUGCAUACCCUCUUGUAUGUACCAUAUGAAUAAGGCUCGGCUAACUCCGUGCCAGCAGCCGCGGUUAUACGGAGGGUCCGAGCGUUAUCCGGAUUUAUUGGGUUUAAAGGGAGCGUAGGUGGAUUGUUAAGUCAGUUGUGAAAGUUUGCGGCUCAACCGUAAAAUUGCAGUUGAAACUGGCAGUCUGGAGUACAGUAGAGGUAGGCGGAAUUCGUGGUGUAGCGGUGAAAUGCUUAGAUAUCACGAAGAACUCCGAUUGCGAAGGCAGCUCACUGGACUGCAACUGACACUGAUGCUCGAAAGUGUGGGUAUCAAACAGGAUUAGAUACCCUGGUAGUC
rnacentral:rRNA from 1 species